rnacentral:tRNA from 1 species
AAGAAUAUAGGGGGGGC